rnacentral:lncRNA from 1 species
CGGGGCGGGGGUAGCCGGGCAGAGCACCGCGCUGCGGGCGGGGCGAGCGCUGCGGAGGUGCCGCGGCCGCUGGGUCCGCGGCGGCUUCCCUCUGUUGGGAGUAUUAUUUCUUAAGUUAUAAAUCCCCCCCCCUCCCCAACUUCUGCGAGCAUCGUAUCCGCCGCUCCCAGCCCUGCAAGGCGCGGGGCAGAGCGCACCCAGCCGCUCGCCCACCUCUCGCUCCGCUCGUACGGCCGCGCGGUGCCGGCGCUGCCCGCAAAGCCCUAUCCGUCGCGGGGGCACGGCGCGUCUCGGGGCGCUGCCUCGCGGGAAGGUUCCAGAAGCGCGGCGGCGUGGCCGUGGGCGUGCGGCAUGCGCCCACCUCCUGCGGCGAUGGCUGCGGUGCGGCAGCCCCGGGAGGUGGCACGCAGAGCCCCGCGCCUGCUGCGCCCGGAGCCAUCGCGGACCGGGCAGCCGGCGGACAGCGUCGGGCUGUGCUGCUUUAUCGAGGUCCCAAGAUGGCCGCCGCCGCCUGGCCCCCUCCUCCUGCGGUUUGCUGCGACGCGUGGAUUGGUUGCAACAAAGCAGGACUGCAGCACGUUGCAGGUGUUUGGAAUUGGGGUGGGUAG